rnacentral:rRNA from 1 species
GAUCCUGGCUCAGGAUGAACGCUAGCGGCAGGCCUAACACAUGCAAGUCGAGGGGCAUCACAGGUAGCAAUACCGGGUGGCGACCGGCGCACGGGUGCGUAACGCGUGUGCAACCUACCCAUAACAGGGGGAUAACACUGAGAAAUUGGUACUAAUACCCCAUAACAUCAGAACCGGCAUCGGUUUUGGUUGAAAACUCCGGUGGUUAUGGAUGGGCACGCGUUGUAUUAGCUGGUUGGUGAGGUAACGGCUC